GCCAGCGUGGUGUAGUGGUCUGAGUGUUGAACUAAGACUCAUAAAACCAGGGUUCAAAUUCCUGCACAGACA